CUACGUGUCGCAGCAGUGGGGAAUAUUGCACAAUGGGCGCAAGCCUGAUGCAGCCAUGCCGCGUGUAUGAAGAAGGCCUUCGGGUUGUAAAGUACUUUCAGCGGGGAGGAAGGGAGUAAAGUUAAUACCUUUGCUCAUUGACGUUACCCGCAGAAGAAGCACCGGCUAACUCCGUGCCAGCAGCCGCGGUAAUACGGAGGGUGCAAGCGUUAAUCGGAAUUACUGGGCGUAAAGCGCACGCAGGCGGUUUGUUAAGUCAGAUGUGAAAUCCCCGGGCUCAACCUGGGAACUGCAUCUGAUACUGGCAAGCUUGAGUCUCGUAGAGGGGGGUAGAAUUCCAGGUGUAGCAGUGAAAUGCGUAGAGAUCUGGAGGAAUACCGGUGGCGAAGGCGGCCCCCUGGACGAAGACUGACGCUCAGGUGCGAAAGCGUGGGGAGCAAACAGGAUUAGAUACCCGAGUAGUC
rnacentral:rRNA from 1 species